UGAGCUUUCUGAAGACACCCGACAUGACAAACUUUGCAUUAGAUACCACACAAUCAUAUUAUAAGGAUGAGCAUGGCGGUGCUGGGUGUUCCCUCAAGGUAUAGAACAUUACAGAGUGUCACAGCCG